rnacentral:misc_RNA from 1 species
UGACUCUGAUCAGCAUUCAUCCAGAUCUGGGCAAGAACUUGUUGAGGCAAAUUGGCUCCUUGAAAGAAAGCGACAGCUUCAUCUCCACUGAUCCUGCCAUCGCCAUCUAAAUCAGCUUUCCUGAAGUAAGCUUCGAAUUGAUCAAUGCUGGAUACCUGAUUUUGCCCCGCCAUGUCCAGGCGCAAUGGGUAAUAGACUAAUAACUGAAAUUUGAUCUCCCCAGUACACGCAAGCAUAAACUUGAAUUCGAUUGAAUUGAGUCCAACAACUGAAAAUGGUGAUAAUACACCAACAACAACACAAAUUUAGUUUAAUUCGCUGAACAGGAUGGAUUAAUGUUAUGAUAUGAUUAGAAGGUGGAGAAAUGAUUGGGAUUUUGUAAAGGGUUUGGAGAUUUGGAGCUUAAUUGAUAAUAAAAUCGAGAUUCUUUUCUUGCUAAUUUGCAUCUG